rnacentral:lncRNA from 1 species
GGGGUUGUCAUACUAUUAAAUGAAUUCAACAUAACACUGAACUAUUUUCAUAAAUACAGAUAACACUCUGUAGAAAGUGCUUAAGGUAGAUAUUAAUAUACGUAAUAUGUUGCUAGAAUUAACGACGUGAUCAGAGAGGAAUUGAAAAGCAGGCAGUUUCUGUUUGACCAGCACAUUCCUUAUGAGAAAUAUAUGGCUUCAGAUUUUAUGAAAAUAG